AGCGAACGCUGGCGGCAGGCCUAAAACAUGCAAGUCGAACGGAUCCUUCGGGAUUAGUGGCGGACGGGUGAGUAACACGUGGAACGUGCCUUUUGGUUCGGAACAACUCAGGGAAACUUGAGCUAAUACCGAAUGUGCCCUUCGGGGGAAAGAUUUAUCGCCAUUAGGGCGGCCCGCGUCUGAUUAGCUUGUUGGUGAGGUAAAGGCUCACCAAGGCGACGAUCAGUAGCUGGUCUGAGAGGAUGAUCAGCCACACUGGGACUGAGACACGGCCCAGACUCCUACGGGAGGCAGCAGUUAGGAAUCUUGCGCAAUGGGGGAAACCCUGACGCAGCCAUGCCGCGUGAAUGAUGAAGGUCUUAGGAUUGUAGAAUUCUUUCAGCGGGGACGAUAAUGACGGUACCCGCAGAAGAAGCCCCGGCUAACUUCGUGCCAGCAGCCGCGGUAAU
rnacentral:rRNA from 1 species